AACGAACGCUGGCGGCAGGCUUAACACGUGCAAGUCGAGCGCCCCGCAAGGGGAGCGGCAGACGGGUGAGUAACGCGUGGGAACGUACCUUUUGGUUCGGAACAACUCCGGGAAACUGGAGCUAAUACCGGAUAAGCCCUAACGGGGAAAGAUUUAUCGCCGAAAGAUCGGCCCGCGUCUGAUUAGCUAGUUGGUGAGGUAACGGCUCACCAAGGCGACGAUCAGUAGCUGGUCUGAGAGGAUGAUCAGCCACACUGGGACUGAGACACGGCCCAGACUCCUACGGGAGGCAGCAGUGGGGAAUAUUGGACAAUGGGCGCAAGCCUGAUCCAGCCAUGCCGCGUGAGUGAUGAAGGCCUUAGGGUUGUAAAGCUCUUUUGUCCGGGAAGAUAAUGACUGUACCGGAAGAAUAAGCCCCGGCUAACUUCGUG
rnacentral:rRNA from 1 species